AAAAAGGAAAAAACGCGCUCCAUUAUUUAUUCGCCGUUCGACAAGCAUUCUCUUCUAAUGGAAGACAACAAUGCUCCUGCCACGGCCACCGCAGCCACGGAAACGAAGCCUUUCCAAUCGAAAAGUUGGGCCGACGUAGCUGAUGAGCCCGAUCCGGAGCAAGAGGAAGCCGAGACCUCGAAUGAGAAAUCCGACGUUCAGUUGGAUUCACUUGCCAUCGACGAGUCCAAGAGAGUCAACAGUAACCUCACCGAUCCUGAUGAUUCCAGAAUUGAAGCUGUAACAUCUGGUGACACUCCAUAUACAUCAGCUAAGAGAUUUGAGGAUUUAAAUCUGUCGCCUGAAUUAUUGAAGGGUCUGUAUAUUGAGAUGAAGUUUGAGAGGCCUAGUAAGAUUCAGACUAUUAGUUUGCCAAUGAUUCUAACUCCUCCGUACAAGAAUUUGAUAGCUCAGGCUCACAAUGGCUCUGGGAAGACCACAUGUUUUGUGCUUGGUAUGUUGAGCCGUGUCAAUCCAAAACUCGAGGCUCCCCAGGCACUUUGUAUCUGCCCCACCAGAGAACUGGCCAUUCAGGUUUGUCGAUUGUCAUUUUUGAAUAUGGAAGUGCUCCUCAAAAUGGGGAAAUACACUGGGAUAACUUCGGAAUUAGCAAUACCAGCAGAUUCUGCAAACUACAUUUCAAUUCAUAAGAGACCACCCAUUACCGCACAAGUAAUUAUUGGCACCCCUGGUACAAUAAGUAAGUGGGUAAUAGCAAAGAAACUGGGUGUGAGUCAAAUGAAGAUUCUUGUUUUUGAUGAGGCAGAUCACAUGUUGGCUGAGAGUGGCUUUCAAGAUGAGUCAGUGAGGAUAAUGAAGGCAAUUCAAAAAGGCAGUUCCAAUUGCCAGGUGCUCCUGUUUUCUGCAACAUUUGAUGAUGCUGUUAGGGCCUUCGUCACUAAAAUUGUGAAGGAGAUAUUUGUUAGAGACUAUAACCAAAUGUUUGUUAAAAAGGAAGAACUAUCUUUGGAGUCUGUCAAACAAUAUAAAGUGCAGUGUCCGGAUGAGCUUUCAAAGAUCAUGGUCAUUAAAGACAAAAUAUUUGAAAUAGGAGAGAAGGUAGGGCAGACAAUCAUAUUUGUCCGCUCAAGGAACAGUGCAUCUAUGUUGCACCAAGCUUUAGUCAAGUAUGGAUAUGAGGUUACUACCAUUCAAGGGGCUUUGAAGCAAGAAGAUAGGGACAGAAUAAUAAAAGAGUUCAAGGAAGGUUUGACUCAAGUUCUUAUAUCUACUGAUCUUCUUGCUAGGGGUUUUGAUCAAUCACAGAAGAUGCCUAUUUAUUUCUCCAGGUCAAUUUGGUUGUCAAUUUUAAUCUCCCUGUGAGGUAUGACAAUCCUUCUGAACCUGAUUAUGAGGUAUACUUACAUCGGGUUGGUAGAGCUGGGCGCUUUGGCCGCAAAGGUGCUGUAUUUAACUUGCUCUGUGAUGAUAGAGAUAAUAUGAUCAUGGACAAGAUUGAGCAAAACUUCAACACUCAAAUAACUGAGUUGGGCUCGUGGAAAAGCAACGAGGAUUUUGAGAAUGCUCUCAAGAAAGCAGGGUUGCUCUGAAUGUUGGAUGUGAAUUGUGGGAUGCCAUGUAUCGAUAACGUUAUCUGUUUUCAGUUGGAUUAUUUUUCUUCAAGCUAGAAGUAGAGGCGGAUGCAUUUCUGUGCUUGCAGUAUUCGAGAAACUACACUGAACAACACUUUUGUUACAUCGCGGAUUUUUGGCAAUGAGUUCAGUGGAUUAAAAUAGUGAAAUCUAUAUGGUUUUGGCUUCCUUUCUUCCUGGUUUUUAGUUGGUGGUCUUCAUUAUGUACCAUUAUGAAAUAUCGAUGUAUCAUUCAAACGGCUUUCUUUAGUUUUAGUGAUUGUUUGAUAGGGAUUUUGUUAA